UGCAAGUCGAGCGGUAACAGGAAUUAGCUUGCUAAUUUGCUGACGAGCGGCGGACGGGUGAGUAACGCGUAGGAAUCUGCCUAGUAGUGGGGGACAACAUGUGGAAACGCAUGCUAAUACCGCAUACGCCCUACGGGGGAAAGGAGGGGAUCUUCGGACCUUUCGCUAUUAGAUGAGCCUGCGUAAGAUUAGCUAGUUGGUGGGGUAAAGGCUCACCAAGGCGACAAUCUUUAGCUGGUCUGAGAGGAUGAUCAGCCACACUGGGACUGAGACACGGCCCASACUCCUACGGGAGGCAGCAGUGGGGAAUAUUGGACAAUGGGCGCAAGCCUGAUCCAGCCAUGCCGCGUGUGUGAAGAAGGCCUUCGGGUUGUAAAGCACUUUCAGAAGUGAGGAAGGGUGAUUGGCUAAUAUCCAAUUAUCUUGACGUUAGCUUCAGAAGAAGCACCGGCUAACUCUGUGCCAGCAGCCGCGGUAAUACAGAGGGUGCGAGCGUUAAUCGGAAUUACUGGGCGUAAAGCGCGCGUAGGUGGUUUGUUAAGUCGGAUGUGAAAGCCCAGGGCUCAACCUUGGAAUUGCACCCGAUACUGGCAGGCUAGAGUACGGUAGAGGGGUGUGGAAUUUCCUGUGUAGCGGUGAAAUGCGUAGAUAUAGGAAGGAACAUCAGUGGCGAAGGCGACACCCUGGACCGAUACUGACACUGAGGUGCGAAAGCGUGGGGAG
rnacentral:rRNA from 1 species